GUGCUGUAUGAAAAGAGAGAAGCUUAGCACUCCCCUUGCCUAGGAAGGAAGAGGCCCUCAGGCUUGACAACAUGCAUACAGUUAAGGCACUGCCACCUACUUUGUGGCAUCUAACCAUUGUUUAAU
rnacentral:ncRNA from 1 species